CUUCAGGGAGCCCAGCCACAGGGGGUUCUCGGGGGCGCGGUCGCGCCCGUAGGUGGCCAAGAGCGCCUGAGCCUC
rnacentral:antisense_RNA from 1 species